UCUCUCUGUCCUCCUCUCCUCCGAAAAACUCCCUCCUCUCUUCUCUCUUCGAUUUCAUCUACCUAGGGUGUGAUUCUGGACAAUGUCCGAGAAUUAAAGUUGCUAUACGAACCAUGGACUUUCCGAAUAUCCAAGAAAAUUCAUGAUCGGACCUCGUGGGAGCUCGGUUGACUUGGUCAAAAGGUCGGGUUUUGCUCAAAACUCUUGAGGUACACUACAGGAACACAGUCUUGGAGGGUGUGAAGUGCAUGCAGACAUCACAAACGAAAGUUAUUUUCUGAAGUACUUGUCUUUCAUCGUAAAUUAAAUUGCAUUGUACUAUUCUCUCUAUGUUUGAAUACUGUAUCAAUUGACAGAUUUGUGAGAUUCAGAAACUGUAUUGUAAUUUGGGGUACCGUAUGUACUAUUGUGAGGAUUCGUAUUUAAAAUGGUAUUGUUAUUUAUGUUAAAAAUCGAGGGCGUGACAACU